rnacentral:rRNA from 1 species
UUGCCUCAGUAACGGCGAGUGAAGCGGCAAGAGCUCAAAUUUGAAAUCUGGCCCCUUUGGGGUCCGAGUUGUAAUUUGCAGAGGAUGCUUCGGGUGCGGUCCCCAUCUAAGUGCCCUGGAACGGGCCGUCAUAGAGGGUGAGAAUCCCGUCUGGGAUGGGCGGCCGCGCCCGUGUGAAGCUCCUUCGACGAGUCGAGUUGUUUGGGAAUGCAGCUCUAAGCGGGUGGUAAAUUUCAUCUAAAGCUAAAUACUGGCCGGAGACCGAUAGCGCACAAGUAGAGUGAUCGAAAGAUGAAAAGCACUUUGAAAAGAGAGUUAAACAGCACGUGAAAUUGUUGAAAGGGAAGCGUUGUCCACCAGACUCGCCCGGGGGGGUUCAGCCGGCACCUGUGCCGGUGUACUCCUCUCCGGGCGGGCCAGCAUCGGUUUGGGCGGCUGGUGAAAGGCCCCGGGAAUGUAACACCCUUCGGGGUGCCUUAUAGCCCGGGGUGCCAUACAGCCAGCCUGGACCGAGGCCCGCGCUUCGGCGAGGAUGCUGGCGUAAUGGUGGUCAACGGCCCG